AGAGAGAGUCCCAAGCAGGCUCAUGCUGCCAGCACAGAGCCCAACGUGGGGCUCAGUCCCCCAAACCAUGAGAUCAUGACCAGAGUCGAAAUCAAGAGUCAGACACUUAACCAACUGAGCCACCCAGGCGCCCCACAUUUGUACCUUUUAAAUUUGCAUCGAUCACACUCUGCCCGGAUGGUACAGCUGUCAGCCUCCUUUGAAGAAUUUGGUUUUCCUUUCUUCUCUAAACUCAGGAGUCUUCAGGGGCCCGUGUUCUGCUGAUGUUACUAAUUUGUCUUUAAUUCCAGAAUCUGUGAGAUGUUAGCCCUCUAGGAGUUUGUUGAGGUCCUCUUCCCUUGAGGAAUUUUGAUCUUGUGUCUUGCAUGUAUAAUGACGAUUCUGAAAUUCAGAAGCCUAAGAAGCCUAAACUGUCAGAGAUUGGGACCUGAAAGAAUUUAGACAGUGGGACCCUUGCUGGGCUCAGGCUGGGAGCCAUGAUGGUGCACACUGCGGUUCAUCACUGAACCAACCCAGGUUUCUGAGUCUAGGUGUGAGCAGUACCUGAUGUCUGUAUCUGCCCCGGUCUUCUUGAGAAGUAAAUCUGUCUGAGGAGGGAAGGUUAGCGAUAGUGCGUAUCAUUUGGCAGAUUCUGAAAUAGAAUACUUUGCAUGUGUGUGAGAGAGAGAGAGACACACACACACACAAGGAAUAUGACUGAUGGCUGCGGAAUAACUAUGGCUUAUAUAACCCACGUAAAGCCCAGUUGCACUGAGGUCCAGUAUGACAAGGCAUCUGUGUAAAAACAAAAACAGUUUAGCAGCCCCAAAUUCACCAAGAGUCAUUUGAAUAUAUAUUGGAGCCUUUUGAAUAGUGUGCCAAAGAAGGGACCCACGGAUAAUACAUAUCAAAACUUCUUUUUACAAUCCUUCUUUCUACAAUAUACAACGGCUGCCAUGAGGUUAUUUGCUCCUCUUUUUAUCUCCCACUUAAACAAAAUGACAUAAACCAAAAAAACUCUAACUCAACCCUCUUGUGCUCUUUGAUUUUGAUCCCUCUCCCUUAUUUCCCCAAUCCGUUUGAAGUCCCCAGCUGAAGUCCUCGAAGUUCCCAUGGGAACCCCCACUAGCCCUUCCUUAAUUUAUCUCCCUUACGGAUUCUUGCGUUCAAUUGAGAAAAGGCUCAGUCACCAAUCAGACAAGACUCCUUCCUGGAUUGGGGAGGAAGAGAGCAAAAACAAAGCUGAUAGAAUUUUCUUUAGGGUUGAAGAUAAAAGAGGCCACGAAUACUCUCAUGAGUUCAUAUUUGUGUCCUUGCCAGCCUUAGAUUCUUGGAUAUCGUUUGAAACUUAAAAAAAAAAAAAAAAUUACUUUUAGGGAAAACUGGUCUCUUUGAUUUGAUUCUUGCAAGUAAGGACAUUGAGCCAUGACCAUGAUAGGAACCCGUAUUUGAGGCUUCAACUUCUGAGGACUAAUCAUGACACAGGUACCAAGAGCCCAAGGUCAUUAUUUGGGCUGACCACAUAGGCAGUCUGGCUGACACGUACCGAAUCUCCCAGGAGGAAGCACACUCUGCAUUCUGUUCAGGCCCAGUGAGCUACACUUAUCUGGGAAUGGUGGGAAUCCUCCUGCAGCCCACCUUCUCAGAUGCCACCCAGGGGCCAGCCUUGUGAGCAAGUCUUUCAAAGGAGACCAGCCAGGUCUGCUACGGUCACUGGGUUUGCACAGUGAGACAUUUAAAAUGAAUGAACCCUCCCAGCAAACUCUAUGAAGCCACAUAAUCAUUUUCGCCAUUGCGAGGAGAAGAAACGGAGGCUCAGCGAGGGUGGAGAACUUUUCUACUAAGCGAUAGUAAGUGGCAAAUGCUAGAAGGAGACCAUGUGAAACCACAGACCAUGCCCUGCUGUCUCUCAAGUAUUUAUUUCAAUUUUUAAUUAAUAGCCAACAUUUACUGAGUCUUUUCUAUGAGCCAGGCACUGUGGUAACAGCUCAUUUAUACCUCACUUCAUGAGACCUUCUGUUCCUCUUAUCUUCAUUUUACAGAUGAGGAAACUGAGGCACAGAGAUCCUGAAGAUUGAACAUCAGGUCAUAAUAAUCAGGACCCUGCCUUGGGUGCUUUUUAGGCCCAGACACUGCGCUUUGCUGAGCAUCUUCUCUCCGGGGACCCCUGUAGAGCGGAGCUGAAUUGGAGGUGAAGCUUAAUGGAGUAAAGCAAACACGAGGAGGAAAUCAAAAGUUCCAGGAGACAAGUUCCACCAAACUGGAGCAGAUUGCUUCCAGCAGAAGCAAAAGCAACUCAUUUCCGGAGUCAAGAAAGAGGAAAGCAAGUGGAAACUUCCAGCGUUGGGGCCUCGAUGAGUGUUCAAUGCAAAGUGCCCUGUUCUGUUAGGUGGAGACAGCCGUGUAGCUUCUACCUCAUUCUCUCCCACACAUAUGCCCCACCCUGGCCCCUACCCACCAGAGACAGAACUUCCUGGUGGGGGGAAUAGGGUUUCUUGGAAUCCUCACUCCCAGAGGAGAGGGUGUAGACCCAGCUGAAGAGAGAAGCUGAGAGUUUAUCCAAGCCCAGAGAGGCAAACCCGUGCCUCUAGCGGACAGGCAGGUGCAGCUGGAAGGGAACAAGUUAGUUAGAAGGCCACGGUGGCCAACCGUUGUCUGGCCCUGCUUCUCUGCCUGCCUGCCCGCCCCAACACCUGUCCUGAAGUGAUACGAUUUGUGAAACAAGGCCCCUGCCAAUCCUCUGGACAAAGUCAACAACUCGUGUUGAUUCUGCUGAUUCUAAAAAGUAAUGGUUGCUGUUAUCCUAAUAAUACAAUGUAAUGGGACGUUGAGCUUAUUUUUAGGCAGAAUUCACACGGAUUUUAGAGCAUCAUAUGGUCUGAAGGGGACACUUCUCUUACAUUUUCCUAGAGUUUAAAGGGAAAUUAGGGGCACGUGGGUAGCUCAGUCCAUUAAACAUCCAACUCUUGAUUUCGGCUCAGCUCAUGAUCUCCCCUUGGUAAGUUAAAUUCAUCAGCAGAGAUGGCCAAUGCAGGCAUUUACCAAGGACUCUGGGGGCAAUCCUUACAAACACGUGGGAUUGUUUCAAGGGCAAAGGUAACAGCUCAGCAGAGAAGUGGCUUCUGUUUCCUACCUUGCAACCCCACCCAGUGAGCCCAGCCCAAGGAUGUGACUAGUGCCUUCCCAACACUAGGAAUCUGAGGACAACUGGGUGCGCCCUUCACUCUUGUACGUUCAGGCCGACAACAUCGGGCAGGUCGCUUUGGCUCUCCAGGCCUCAGUGGCCUAAUCUGCAAAAGGGAAAUAACCACGCUUUCCGAUGCUGUUAGGUGAGCCCAUGGAUGGCAAAUGUGGGGCACUGUAGCAUCUGGCGCUACGAGGCGCUUCACAUACACUGGGAGCGGCUGCUAAAGCCACUGGGACCAUGAAGCCACACUGGGCAUGUGCAGCGAGGGCAGCCCAGGGAUAGAGGCAGCAAGAAGGGCUUGCGCAUCGGCUCCGGGUACCCUGAAGCGACUCCCACCUCUGAGAACCGUCAGUGGGCGUCUGCCACCACCGUUCCUUCCCCUUCAGCCUUCCUCAAGCUUCCAGAAUUCCCUCCAAGGCUCGCACCCCACCUCCACGCAGCCCACGCUUGGGCGAUGGGUGACUCCACCCCUUUGCUCCAGGGGUAGGCCCUGAUUGGCUUACAGGGAGCAGGGGUUUCCACACGAGCCAGUCAUUGGUUUGCAGGCGAGCAUGUGACCCGGGGGGGGCCAAUCAGGGCGCAUCUUGUUUUGUCCUGUGCUUGCCUUCUGGGGAAAGAGCCUACGUGCGGAAGGGUGGACCCGCUGGGGUGCGGCCGGCCUUGCAGAGGUUUUGCUGAGCGCGCAGAGCUGAGAAACCGCAAACACUUGCGCACCGGUGGCGUUGUGAAGCUUCUGGAUCAUCCACCUGGAGGCUUGAGCUUACGGCGCUUUCUGCGUGCGUGAUACCGAUCCCCUCCAUUGCGCCAGCCAGUUCAAGUGGCCUUUCUCCAUGACUCGUAACUGGAAACAUCCCGUCACACGGAGCUUUUAUAAGACGCAAUCGUCUGCUUUCAUGUC